GAUGAAGAACGCAGCGAAAUGCGAUAAGUAAUGUGAAUUGCAGAAUUCAGUGAAUCAUCGAAUCUUUGAACGCACAUUGCGCCCGCCAGUAUUCUGGCGGGCAUGCCUGUCCGAGCGUCAUUUCAACCCUCGAACCCCUCCGGGGGGUCGGCGUUGGGGAUCGGCCCUUUACGGGGCCGGCCCCGAAAUACAGUGGCGGUCUCGCCGCAGCCUCUCCUGCGCAGUAGUUUGCACACUCGCAUCGGGAGCGCGGCGCGUCCACAGCCGUUAAACACCCCAAACUUCUGAAAUGUUGACCUCGGAUCAGGUAGGAAUACCCGCUGAACUUAAGCAUAUCAAUAAGCGAGGA
rnacentral:misc_RNA from 1 species